rnacentral:rRNA from 1 species
AUUGAACGCUGGCGGCAGGCCUAACACAUGCAAGUCGAGCGAGUGGCGGACGGGUGAGUAAUGUAUGGGAAUCUGCCCGAUAGAGGGGGAUAACUACUGGAAACGGUGGCUAAUACCGCAUACCAUCGGAUGUACCCAGAUGGGAUUAGCUAGUGGGUGGGGUAACGGCUCACCUAGGCGACGAUCCCUAGCUGGUCUGAGAGGAUGACCAGCCACACUGGAACUGAGACACGGUCCAGACUCCUACGGGAGGCAGCAGUGGGGAAUAUUGCACAAUGGGCGCAAGCCUGAUGCAGCCAUGCCGCGUGUAUGAAGAAGGCCUUAGGGUUGUAAAGUACUUUCAGCGGGGAGGCGUUACCCGCAGAAGAAGCACCGGCUAACUCCGUGCCAGCAGCCGCGGUAAUAC